ACAUCAUGUUCUUCUGCUAACAGCUGUUUCUACUUUUCUCGCUAACGCCCAUCCUCUCAUCAAACCCUAGCCUCUACACCUACGUCCAAUCAAACCAUGGCGUUGAAGCAUCUCCUAGCUCUCGCCCGCCGGUCCCACAGACCUCCACUAUCUGCUGUUUCUGCCGUCCGAUCCUCGUCUACAGCCGUUGCCUCUUCCUCGCCUUCUACUCCUCCCUCUCCUCCUCCUCCAGACGCCAUGAUCUACGACCGUCUCGCCGAAUCAGUGAAAUCCAAGCUCAAACAGCUCGAGAACCCUGACCCAAGGUUCCUCAAAUACGGUUCCCCUCACCCGACUCUCACGACCCAUAC
rnacentral:misc_RNA from 1 species